rnacentral:rRNA from 1 species
AGCUCCAAUAGUGUAUAUUUAAGUUGCUGCAGUUAAAAAGCUCGUAGUUGGAUUCCGGGAAGGCCGCAAUAGUCAAGCCAAGUGCUAUGUACUUAUGCGGACCUUAACUCUUAUCAUAGGCAUAUUUAAAGAUCUGCUCUUUAUGUGCUUAUGGUGUGGUUACUGUGAGUAAACUAGAAUGUUUAAGGUAGGCGGUUGCUCUGAAUAUAUUAGCAUGGAAUAACAUUAUAGUACUUGAGUCUAUUCUGCUGAAUUGUGGGACUGAAGUAAGAUUAAUAGGGACAGUCGGGGGCAUUCGUAUUUCAUUGUCAGAGGUGAAAUUCUUGGAUUGAUGAAAGACGAACUACUGCGAAAGCAUUUGCCAAGUAUGUUUUCA